rnacentral:rRNA from 1 species
CACGGGGGGAGCAAGCGUUGUUCGGAAUCACUGGGCGUAAAGGGCGUGUAGGCGGUUCGAUAAGUGGGAUGUGAAAUCCUCCGGCUCACCCGGAGACCUGCAUCUCAAACUGUUGGACUAGAGUAUGGGAGAGGAUGAGGGAAUUCCUGGUGUAGCGGUGAAAUGCGUAGAUAUCAGGAGGAACACCGGUGGCGAAAGCGCUCAUCUGGCCCAAUACUGACGCUGAGGCGCGAAAGCUAGGGGAGCAAACGGG